GGGCUACAAACGUAAUACAAUGGCGUAUACAAAGGGAUGCGAAAGGGCGACCUGGAGCAAAACUCACAAAGUACGUCUCAAGUUCAGAUUGGAGUCUGCAACUCGACUCCAUGAAGGCGGAAUCGCUAGUAAUCGCGGAUCAGCAUGCCGCGGUGAAUACGUUCUCGGGGUUU
rnacentral:rRNA from 1 species